UGGGGAGUCUUGCGCAAUGGGCGAAAGCAUGACGCAGCAACGCCGCGUGAGCGAAGAAGGACUUCGGGUUGUAAAGCUCUGUCAGGGGGAAAGAAGGCACCUGGGUUAAUAGCCCAAGGGCUGACGGUACCCCCAAAGGAAGCCACGGCUAACUACGUGCCAGCAGCCGCGGUAAUACGUAGGUGGCGAGCGUUGUCCGGAAUCAUUGGGCGUAAAGAGCGCGUAGGUGGCUUGUCAGGUCCGAUGUGAAAACCUGGGGCUCAACUCCAGGCCUGCAUCGGAAACCGGCUUGCUAGAGUCUGGGAGAGGAGAGUGGAAUUCCUGGUGUAGCGGUGAAAUGCGUAGAUAUCAGGAGGAACACCGGUAGCGAAGUCGGCUCUCUGGAACAGUACUGACGCUGAGGCGCGAACGCUAGGGGAGCGAACAG
rnacentral:rRNA from 1 species